AUGCGGUUUCGCGAAUGCGCCACAAGGGGGAGUAUUUGCCCGAGUAGAUGCAGGUUGCGGUAGGUCAGCACGGGGUUUCCGUCGUCAGACUGCUGAACGGACACAGCUAAUGUCUACUGUCUCUACUUCACCUGCACGAAACAGGAACUUUGCAUAAUGAUGAGGUUGAGGGCCCAUCAUCUGAAAUUCAGCAUUCUGCAGACACUUCCCCUAGUGAUCAAUUGGAUCACGAAGAUGUGAACCAUCAGGAAUCUCACAGUCGAAGCUGCAGUGACAGUGAAGAGACCCCCCCAUGCUUCAUACCACACACCAUCCCACCAGCUGGGUAUUUGAUCUCUUUUGCUUUAAGAUUUCAGAAAACUUAUAGUAAUAAUUUAUCAAUAAUGAUGAAGUCUAGUGCACUACUCCAACAGGAGACCCAGCUUUUGUUCACAAGAUUGUUAUUGAAUUCAGUAUCACUGACUUCUACAUUGUAUAUUAUAAAUGAAAAGUCAUGUAUUACAAAUGCUCUUGAAAGGAGGAGGGCAAGGUCGUUGCACUUGGAUGCUUUUGUUGAACGCUUUGCCCAUCAACAGCAAAACAGACGUAUUCAGCUGUCAUGACCUUAGUGAUUUGGUGUAUAGUGAGACUGAUUUGUUUAAGUGUAUAUGUGUUCUGCAUGGUUUCCUAACAUGUUGUUAGAGUUGUAAUAAAGUUCUUCAUAACUAAACU